GCCCUCGUAGCUCAGUGGAUAGAGCGCGGGUCUCCGGAACCCGAAGCGUAGGUUCGAUUCCUAUCGAGGGCACCA
rnacentral:tRNA from 1 species